rnacentral:lncRNA from 1 species
AUUCAACCAAAAUGACUACCCAAUUCACGAACAUAAUUAAACACAAGUAAUUCGAAUUAAACAAUGUCACCAAAAUAAUUCACGAAAAUAACAUGCUUCAACUUGUUGUGGAAAAUAACAUCCUUAUUCAAGAAUUUAAAUAAAAUCAACGAAAUAGGAUACUUACUUCGUUUGAAGAAGAAGCCAUGGUAUAUGCCUUCAAGUUGAAAAAAU